UGAUCAAGUCAUGGAUGGCAGUGGUCUUAUGAAUCAUUGACCUGGCAUUGCACAGCAGCACCUUCAGGUCAUGUGGGUAUCCCUUGCUGAUUCUAGUAUUCGUCUGGUCAAGACCAGACCCGGAGGCAGGGAUAGUCCUCAGACAAUGACUAAACCUGCCUCCUCUAUAAUGACAUGGUCUGGUCUUAGCACAACUCCUCCUCCUAUCCGUGAUCACUGAGAUCGGUUGUUCCAGUGCAUCCCCCCCUGUGGAACAUGCCCCAGCCAUUUUGUUGGCUGGGACCCACUCCCCGGCAGCCCUGACCCCUCCCCUU